CAGCCUGGAAACUUAUCACCAGAGUCCAAGUCUCUGUUAGCAGUGACAGUUAAAUUACAAGUCACUUGACAUACAUCAACAAUUAAUACAUUCCAUUGUUUUAAGGCAAAUGAGGAAAAUAAGAGUAACAAUAGCUUUUGCCUUACUACAUGCACAAGAGAAUAUUAGAAAUUAUAAUAUAAAUUAGAAAAUAUCAGAGGCAAAAAAGACAGGACUUAGCCACUGGACUUUUAGUAAAGUACCCUUACUAACCCUUAGAGGAGCUGCUGUAUACUAGAAAAAAUUAUAUUGAUGAUUUGACCCCAUCAAUCAGCAUUUUAGCAUUACAUUAUUGUCAAUUGCUAUCUGCUCUAUUUGUUCCAACCUGUCAUGAGAGUCAAAAUGUAUUCCUAGGGUGGGAAUUAAACCCAUGUACGUUCAUUUACUUUUAUUGUUCUUUGUGUACACAAAAUGUACAUGUCCAUGAAAUAUAUCAAAUGCAAAAAAUGCUGUAAUGUAUCAUUACACCCUCAUUAGUUAAGG
rnacentral:lncRNA from 1 species